AAACAUCACGCAUUGCAGCAAUCUGUAUGAAUCAAUAUGAUUCUCAUGAGGAACUAAUCCAAAUACAAGGAACCACAAAUGAAAUUGCUGAAAGAUCAUGAAACUGGAAAGGUUUGAAUCCAAAUACAAGGAACUAAUCCAAAUCCAGCAAUCUGGAAAGGUUUGAAUUCAGCAAUUUGCUGAAAGAUCAUGAAACUGGUUUAAUGAAAUGGCUUCAAAAGAGUGGUUAGGCAUCAAAGAAGAGUACCUCUACCCAUAAGCAUAAUCCAGU
rnacentral:misc_RNA from 1 species